CUGCUUCACCUGGAAAGUAUGUUUGGGCCCUUGGAUACUGAGGAAGGAAGAAGUAAAUGGCAGCUGUUACACUUUCAGCGGUUGCAGGGGAAGGUGCUGUGGAGAGGGUGUUGGGAGUGAUUAGUGGAACAGAGUGUCCCACAGGAAAUAAUCCCUGCAGAAGGCGGACAAGGGAGGGGAGGGGAAUGUGAGUCUAGUGGCAGCAUCUCGCUGCAGAUGGCAGAAAUGGUGGCUGAUGAUCUUCUGGAUAUGACUACUGAUGGGAUGAUAGGUAUGGACAAGGGGAACUCUAUGGUUGUUGCGGAGGGAAGAGAGGGGAUGAGGGCAGGAGUGCAGGAGAUGGAUUAGACCCGGUUGAGAGCCCUGUCAACAAUGGUGCUGGGAAAUCCUCAGUUGAGGAUGAAGGUAAAAUUUAAACAUUCUAAGGUGCACUCUGGCCACUCUUUCAGUGAAAAAAAAAGCCUAUUAUUCCACUAACACCUUAAUUUAUGUACCUUACUAACAGUUGUUUUGUUAAUGAACCCCGUUAGUUAGAAUCAAAAUGCAGCAGCGUUAUUGAGUGGAUAUUUCUGUUCCCAAUGUUGCUGGUGGACUGACAAUUAUUAGAAGUUCAUGAUCACAGUGAUCAGUAAAUUGGGCACUCCGUGGGUACAGAUUAGCAUAACAAUCAAUUCCUAGCUCUUUAAGAGAAUAACAGUAUGUAUUACAUAUUAACCAUCAUAUAUAACAUAGGUCCCUCGUACCCAUUAUCCAAAUCAACCAGGUUUCCCGGACAAAUUGGGCGUGUCUGCUCAUCUCAGUGCAAUUGAACUUCUCGUCACUACAAUGUAAUUCCCAUUUUCCAAUCAAGUUUCAGCACGAACAAAGUAGGCGAUGGCUUCUCACAGUAAGUGCUGUGUGUUCAACUAAAAAAAAGGAAUUAAAAAACAAACAAACAUCUGAUGCCAUUCUUGGGGUUGUUUUGCUUGUCCCAACUCCCCGAGGAACCACGCUGUCUCCGGGGAAGGGUGGGGUGGAGCAUUGCUAACAAGUAUCAUUUUGGCGUGGACGGGAAUAAAUAUUACUGAUAAAUACAACCAGAACUCAUUUUAAAAAGGACGUAAAUCAGGCGGGGAUGUGGACCGAUAAUUCAAAUUUCUAAUUCAUACACUUCUAAAUAAAAGGCUUAAAAAGAUGGCAUUCUCUUCCAGUUUAAACGGCAUGUGUUCUUUCUUCUGUUUCAUCCAGCUGAACAAACCAGCUCAGACAAAUGAAAUAGACACCGACUUCAACUCGCCACAAUGUAGGCUGCCAACGCAUGCGUGUUGGCAUUGUUGCCCAUUCUAGAAGGAAGGUGGAGUAAGCGUGGGAAUAUUAAUAGAGAAAGCGAGACAGACAAACGGCACAAAACAAACAGGAACCACGAGCAACUCGACCGAGCAACACUAGCUGUCCCCUGAAUUCAUCAAUAACAGGGCGAUCAGUUACACAUCAGAUCGAUACUUUUACAAAACAAAGGAAGAGCGUUCUUUGUUCUCGCCCGAGCACAUUUGAAGAUGCAAUGAUUAAAUAGACUGGACAUUUUGAUGGCAUUCGACGAGUUGGCUUACUUCUGGGCUGUGCCAGGGUCUAUCAUUUUUUGAGAGGUUUUGGGGAGCCCUUUUGUUCCUGUGAACGAGGGGCACUUGGCGCUGUCUAUGGUGCUGAAAUCCCAAGCGAAACAACGGCGACUCGACAACUCAACGGCACAAAAGAAUCCAUCCCUCAGUGGAUUGAAACCUGUUGGGAGGCUGACUUCAAAUCACCACAGGGGGCCUUUCCAUUGCAACCCAGUCGAUUGCUAUAAGCGACGCUCUUCUGUGAACUGACAGGAGGAGUUCUCAGUAAACAGCUACAAGUGGAUUCUGUAAAACGUUUCGAAUUCAGCUGUACUCGGCUCUGAUUCUUCCUGACCAUGCGUUUUAGGGCCACCUUUGUUUAUUCUGUUCCAUUGUUCUUCAUGCUGUUGGUCCGUUGUUGUUGGUUAGUCUGUGUUGAGGUUCCUUCAGACACUGAAGCAUUACAUGGGACCAACAUGAAACUCACUUGCAUUUCCUGCGUGAAGAGAGAAGAAGUGAAUACAGACACCAUGGUUGAAUGGACCUACAUCACGAAUGAUGGGAAGGAGGUAGCGAUUUAUGAGUACAACGGAGAGCCACGAGAGUUAAAAGGACCUUAUCAGGGCAGAAUUCUGUGGAAUGGAAGUAAAGAUCUGCAAGAUGUAUCCAUAACCAUAGUGAAUGUUACACUAAACGACAGCGGUCUGUACCGGUGCACGGUCAAACGGUAUUUUAAUUAUGAGAUACACAGACCUUCUGUGACAGAUGUGAAAGAAGUGCAGCUAACAGUCCAUGAAGACGCCCUUGAAGAUUUUACUGCAUACAUUUCGGAAAUCAUGAUGUAUCUUCUCCUUGUUUUCCUCACUUUAUGGCUUGUAAUAGAAAUGAUAUAUUGCUAUAGGAAGAUCCUGAAAUCAGAAGAAGCUGCACAAGAAAAUUCAACAGACUACCUGGCGAUACCUUCUGGAAACAAAGAGAAUCACUCCACGGUUCCUGUGGAGGAGUAGGAAUGUAUUCAGUUUUGACAGUGGAUAACUUGGUUCUGCAAUCCCCAGGAUGAUCAGCCACUAACAUUGUGACGGACUGAGUUGUUGAAAAGCAGAGAAAACCAUGAAGCCUUUGGCUUUGAAUCCAUUGCAGCAUUCAUUAUUUUGCUUAUAAUUAACAAAUCAGAAGAAAUUUAUCACUUGGACUCAGAAAAUUUCCCUUUGUUUACUUUACAGAAGAUUCUUUAUGUGCAAUUUUGGAAGUUUUAUGUUUUGAUUACUCAAUCUCCAAAUUUAAUGUCUGAUUUUUUUUUCACAUGCACUGUUUUUGCAAAUUUAUUUCUUACCUGAUCACAUGCAUAUGAAGAUGAUUUCAAUUGGAGUGCAGACUCACUGAAAUUCUGAUUGUUUUUCUGAGUUCUAUUGGACUUUUCUAUUCACACAAUGGAUAAAUGAUUUUAAUUUGUUCACAAGAGAUUGCAACAUGUGCUCUUUACAUUGUUUGCUGCAGUAAAUUGUAUGCAUCUGAUCAUAUUUGACGAUAGAUUGCUCAGAGAUCUGGAAUAUUUCAAGUAUCACACAAUUGACCAAGGAGCAAGGGGGUUGCGUUACUGGUGAACAGCUGAAAGCCAGCUCUGCUUUUCCUCGACCUUCUAAGGAGGCCUAUUCUUGACCACUAUUGUACCGUCAAUACAACUUUUAUAGUGAAGUGUUAAAAGGAAAUAGUUAUUGAAAAAUGCUAUAAUAAGAGUUAGUGUCAGUUGUUCGUGUAUAGUGUUUCGACGUGUUGCUAAUCAAGUAUUAUUUGUGUGCAUAUUUCAAAUUGUUCAUGUAGAAAUCACAUUGAUAACUGUGAUGACUGUAUGAUCUGUUCUAUUCUAUGAGCUACAACAAUACGUCCAAUUGCGACAUUUCCUUAAAUAGGACAAGUCUUAGCACUAUCAUAUGCAUCGUCAGCAGAUGAAUGAGAGAAUUGAAAACAACUGACACAGCAACACUCCAGUAAGCAACAGUUUAAAAACAGAAGACAUACAGAAACUAGAAGUGAGAUUCAGUUUAUUCAACUGAUUCCAUAUUGUCAAUUCUCCACAUCAGCCUGGUAGUUGGAGAACUUGUCACUUUGUUGUGAAUUAAGAAACUGACUCUUAUUGAACCAAUUCAGAACUGCUAAGGAUUCAUAAUUGUAACAUCAGUCCAAUUAGAUCUUUGUUCUUGAAUUCAAUGCAUAGAGCUUUUAGGCUCCAACUUAUUUAUUACACGAAUGACAUUAACCCAUCAAUUUUUCCCUUUAAUAGCCUUUUUCUAAUAUUAGUAAUAAUUUAAACAAGCUGAGGCAAUUUUCAAAAUGUUAGGCUCAAGUCUUGUUUUUUUUUUGUUAUCUUUAUUUAUUCAGUCACAAUGGAUUUAGAGAUGCAUUCAUUCAAGGUGGAUAAUGUAUACAAAGCAUACCUGAUUUUCAAAGGGUUGUUCAAUCACAGAAGUGUCACAUAUUAGAACAAAUUUUAAAGAACACUGGAAUAACUUACAAUGACAUUUAAGAACAGCAUGCCAUUCCAAACCCCAAAAUUAACUUGGAGCAAUGCAAGAUGCCUUGUCUGAUUUGUGACUGCAAAAAUUACAUUUCAAUUAAAUUCAAAGACAGUUAUCUCAUUAUGCUUAAAGGCAGCAGGAGUUUUACAAUUUCUUUAUUGGACGUUGCAGUACUCAUUAAUAAGAGAUGGCUACUAAAUAACGGAUAGCAAUGUCAGUGCAGAUAAGUGUUGAGAAUUGUUACAGCAUAAAAUCUCUCAUCAGAUUCUGGUACUGUAAAAUCAUCCACUGCUGUUUGCCUACCAUCAUUUGCACAGUCCCUCACAUGAUUCAGUGUCAAAUAAAGAGAUUCAAAGUUUUAUUUUAAUCCAGGUAAUUUUACAAUUCCUAAUAUCAAAAUAAACAAGAAUAUCUUUUACAAGAUGCAUGAUUUUUUUUUCUGUAUUUCAGAAACUAUCCGUGUAUUUUGUCCAAAAUCAGAAGAUUAUUAUAAAUCUUGAUACAAUAUAACAUAAUCAUGAUUUGGACAACUUGAAAGUUAUUUCAAUUUUGAUAGUAAACUACUAAAUCUGAAACUAACAUACCCAUCAACAAGUCUUACUAACAAUACUCAAAGAAAGUAUUGAGUGCAAUACAUCUUGCACUUUAAAAAGAAAUCAUAUUGUCAGCUGUAUCAAAGUGUUUCAGAGUCAAUUGAGGUAUAGGUAAAUAAUGAAAGCUGCGCAAAAAUGUUGAAUCCAAUCAAACCAUUGUAAUUCAGAAGCACUGAUUUUACUUAGCCUGCACUAAUAAGAACAUUAGACAUUUCCCAAAUCAAGAUUAAGCAAGCUGACAUAAGAUUAUUUUAAAAUUUGUUCAUCUUUAAACACUAAUGCUAUUUAAUAAUUAAAUGUGUAAAUAAUACUGACACUUAAGUAAAAACAAAGAUAUACUUUAAUAGUUAUCUUCUUGAAAUCUUCCAAGGGAUUCCUCCUCUUCAACUGAAUACUACAGUUAAAUUAAACUUAGACUAGAUUAAUUUGUAAAUUUAUUUUGACUUUUACAAUGAGGAAAAUCUGAUUGCUUUUACUCAUUUCUCCCUGAAAUCUAUUGAUAAGGUUUAUUUCAAUGUUUUCAUUUUACACAUAGCUUUAACAGAUGUUGUAUUUGCAAAGAAAGUAUUUUUAAAAAUGGCAUAAGAUAGGCUGUCUGAAAAUAAACUAAAUGGUUUAGAUAAAUAUCACAUUUUAGAAUUAGAUGCGUAUUAGAAGAUAUAAUUGAUAUUUUGUAUUUUAAAGUUGUACAUGGUGAAACGUACAUUGGAGUUGAUUUUCAAUUAGAUUCUUGACUUACUUGCAGAGAUUUGAUCAAACUUUACAAAUACAGCAAGGAGGGAAAGGAUAACAGCCCAGAAAUUGUCUACACUGGAAGAGAUAAGCAUUCAAUGGAGGAUUUCCAGCGUAGGUUUUUAUGAAACGUCUGUGAAAGUCACUUUUUUCAAGACAAUACUGAAAAUCAAUCAGAACAUUUUAUUGGUGGAUAUAAAAAAUCUAUUUCUCUCCCCCUCUCGCACAGGAAGUUGGGACCUGGCCCAUUUUUAGAAGCUGUGUAUUUUGUUUGCAUGGGAUUGUGUUAUGUGGGAUCUAAUAUUGUUGUGACAGUCUUUCACAAGACUUGGUACUGGCGCAUCCCAAAGCUGUAACUUAUUUCUAAAACUGGUGUCCCAGCCAGAGGAUUCAUACAAGACCAUAGCAUACAAUGCCGGUCUGGGAAUUAUUAUAAUGUUCAAGAGAUAGGUCAAUGUAAAUGGCAAGAUUUUCUUCUGUGUGAGGCAAAAUUAACUUGACCUAAAAGUAACAAAGAAGCACUUUGAAAAAAAACUCCCUGGCAAGAAGAACAAUGAGGUAAUUGAUGUUAGUGCUAGAGAUAAUUUGUGUUGUGUGACAAAUGUUUGUAUCCAAAUAGAUCAUUUUCUCUAAUUUGAUUAAUUUAUGAACUAUGUGCUGACACCAAUCUACCAUGGCUAUGAGUCCAAGGAUAGAUGAGGUGAAUUUCCUUGGGUCGUUUAUGACCUGUGAAAUAGAAGAAGUCGUCUCACAGAAAGUUUUUAAUUACAAUUUUCCACCACCUGACACCAUUUUAAAUGAGGAGUCCUUCUUAGGUGAAGAUUGAUUAGGAACCAGUAAUGUCAUCACAUUGAUAGAUUAGGACAUGAAACUGGAGCUUGAUCAGUUUAUAAUCAUCAGUAGCUAUUUUGAAGUACCAUGUGGCAUUUACAUGUAUAUAGUGGUUGGCAGCAGCAAUCUCGUUCCAUUUUCACUGACAAUGUUAGAUAUCAUUGUGCCUAUUGAGAGCCAGUUUCAUGCAAGAUAAUCCCUCACUCACAAAGAUUAAAGAAUUAAUAAUUGUAACAUGUUUUAUGAUAUGAUUCUGACUGCUUUUGUCUGGAGUGAAUUUCCCUAAAUGUGUUGUGUACUUAAAAUAUGAAUUUCUGUCAUACUAAUCAAGGGUUAUGCUAAUUACAUUGAGUCGCUAUUUAACUUGUUAACAAGUCUACGAUGUAAAUUGCUCCUUGUUGUCAUAAGUCUUGAUUCCUCAUGUGCUUUGGUAUAUUGUAGAUAAAACAAAUGUUUUGUAAUAUGAAAGUGAAGGUGUUGAAUCAGAGCUGCAAACCUGCUCAAAUGAUUUUAAUAUGGACAACAAAAAAAAUGACAUUAUUAAACUACAAAUUGUACAAGUAGAAAAUAGUGUGUGAAUUUUAGAUACAGAAUUAUUUACAGAAAUAUUAAUUGUGAAGAUAUGACUCUGAAAAGCAAUUGAUUUAAAUCCCAUCGUACUCGCCAGGCAAUUCAGAGUAACGAGUGCAAAGCAGAUUAACUAGUUUAAUUAUAAAAGCCCGACUUUCUUUAUGAGGUUUCUAAUUCCUAUAUUAUAGAAUUUUAAAAUAGUAAUCCUGACUUUUUCAGGCUCUAUUUCAUGCGGAGUUCUGAGAUAUUCACAACAGUUUUUACAAAACACAAGCUGCCUGGCUCCUGAAAGCAUUCAUUAUUGAGGUGGAGUUUGUGUUGUGAAAUCCAGAUUGAUUACAUCAAUUCUAAUCUAAUCGAAUUCACCUGGAUUUUACCCCACCUACAAAUCAGAUUCAUAGGCCCCUAUGAAAGUUUUCUGGAAUACAGUGUCCUCUCCAAAGACUUCAGGGUGCCAACUAAAGAAUAUUUAAUUGUGUCAGCUAUACAAAAAUUAAGUGUCACUUGUAUGAACACUUGUAAUAUUUGAAAUAACAUGCUGCAGACCUUUUUAAUUCUUGAUUUGUUGUGUGCUAUACUAUCCAAAUGUGAUUGUUCUGAAAUAUUACUGAGACUGCUCAUAGCAGCAAGGUAUAUGACUGCUUCACUGUUCUAUUCUCUAUUCCUACCAUGAUCAAACUUGCAUUCAAUUGCACCUGUGAUUGCCAGAGUGGCUCAGAAAAGCAGUAAUGAUACACAAACAUUGUAGAAUGAGCCUUUCACUGGUCUAUAGCUUUUCUGCAUUUUUGUGGAUUGUAUGUGCAAGAAAAUGUUGUACAGAGUAAUGGAUACAACUCGGGACCAAUUCCUUUUCAUAAGUGCAUUUUUAAUUGAAUUUUAAUGCAAGUAUGAGUUGAUCAAACACCUGCUGAGAAAUAGUGUCUGUGGUCAUUAUCAUAAGCAUUUGAGAAUCAAAUACAGUUGAAGAGAAAUUAUUGGAAGCAGGCUUAUAUCAAAUUCAGAAUUAUCUGUCUGCUUAAAGGACUUGAUGCUUUGUUGAUAUUUUAAGGGGAUGAUUUUUAUCUGACAUGCAAGUAUCUGAGUAGGCAUUAAAGCGAGUAGCUAGUAAGGGGAUUAGAUAAUUUAUUAAAUAAUAACCAAUCCGUACUGGAUCAUUAUUGAUUCAAAGACUGCACUUUUACAAUUUUUCAACUCUGGCUGGUGAUUAUUAUACUUACCAUGAUCCUGGCAUUUUGCUGUUUUUGGAUUCUCUGUAUGGUCACAGUUAAUACUGAUGUACACAGGAUAUAUUGUGCUAUGUGUUUAUAUUGUGUUUUCCAGUGAAAUAAAUGUAUUUACAGCUUUAAA